CAAUCGAUGGCUUUACUGUCUCUUACUUCCAAUMCKWGRRMWUGACCUUCCCGUGAAGAGGCGGGAAUAUGACAAUAAGACGAGAAGACCCUAUGGAGCUUUAAUUAACCGACCCAAAGAGAUCUUGAUAAUCAACCGACAGGGAUAACAUACCUCUACCAUGGGCCGACAAUUUAGGUUGGGGUGACCUCGGAGAAUAAAACAACCUCCGAGUGAUUUAAAUCUAGACUAACUAGUCGAAAGUACUACAUCACUUAUUGAUCCAAAAACUUGAUCAACGGAACAAGUUACCCUAGGGAUAAACAGCGCAAUCCYMUUUUAGAGUCCAUAUCGACAAUAGGAU
rnacentral:rRNA from 1 species